rfam:Cucumis sativus cultivar 9930 chromosome 2, whole genome shotgun sequence.
UGCGAUGAUGAUGAGUACAAAUAAUCUCGUUAAUCCGAUCUCUAUGUGAGGAUAAUUUCUCAUCCAUUCAUUUGUUUCUGAGC